UGUCAGUGCUGGCAGCUGAUUAAAUGGUGUU
rnacentral:piRNA from 1 species